CUCAGAUUGAACGCUGGCGGCAGGCCUAACACAUGCAAGUCGAGCGGUAGCACAGAGAGCUUGCUCUCGGGUGACGAGCGGCGGACGGGUGAGUAAUGUCUGGGAAACUGCCUGAUGGAGGGGGAUAACUACUGGAAACGGUAGCUAAUACCGCAUAACGUCGCAAGACCAAAGUGGGGGACCUUCGGGCCUCAUGCCAUCAGAUGUGCCCAGAUGGGAUUAGCUAGUAGGUGGGGUAACGGCUCACCUAGGCGACGAUCCCUAGCUGGUCUGAGAGGAUGACCAGCCACACUGGAACUGAGACACGGUCCAGACUCCUACGGGAGGCAGCAGUGGGGAAUAUUGCACAAUGGGCGCAAGCCUGAUGCAGCCAUGCCGCGUGUAUGAAGAAGGCCUUCGGGUUGUAAAGUACUUUCAGCGGGGAGGAAGGCGAUAAGGUUAAUAACCUUGUCGAUUGACGUUACCCGCAGAAGAAGCACCGGCUAACUCCGUGCCAGCAGCCGCGGUAAUACGGAGGGUGCAAGCGUUAAUCGGAAUUACUGGGCGUAAAGCGCACGCAGGCGGUCUGUCAAGUCGGAUGUGAAAUCCCCGGGCUCAACCUGGGAACUGCAUUCGAAACUGGCAGGCUAGAGUCUUGUAGAGGGGGGUAGAAUUCCAGGUGUAGCGGUGAAAUGCGUAGAGAUCUGGAGGAAUACCGGUGGCGAAGGCGGCCCCCUGGACAAAGACUGACGCUCAGGU
rnacentral:rRNA from 1 species